rnacentral:misc_RNA from 1 species
AACGCAAAUUGCGAUCGAGGCCUCGGCCAAGAGCAUGUAUGCCUCAGCGUCGGGGUUAUACUAACCUUUGCACUCCAUCCAGAGUGCAAAUGUGGGUCUGGCUGUCUCGGUUUAUUUUAAUUAAUUAACCGGGUCAGCUGAAGUGCAGAUGUCAAGGCAUGGACCGGUAAAUCGGGCCUCUACUGGGUAGGCAACUUGUUUGCUGUAUUGCUUUAGUAGAUUGCUUUGGUACUGUAUUGGGCACGAAGCAGGAGUAUCUGUUCAUACAGGUACAACCAUUACCAUUUUCUCGACCUGAGCUCAGGCAAGAUUUCCCGCUGGACUUAA